rfam:Oryza sativa Japonica Group DNA, chromosome 6, cultivar: Nipponbare, complete sequence.
AAAAAGACAAACCCUGGGUUUACGUGUCCAACUUUGACUGUCCGUCUUAUAUGAAAUUUUUUUAUAAUUCGUAUUUUUAUUGUUGUUCGAUGAUAAAAUAUGAUUAAUAUUUUAUGUGUGACUUGUCUUUUUAUUUUUUUUUCAUAAUUUUUUUAAAUAAGACAGACGGUCAAACAUUGGACACGGAAAACAGGGUUUGUCUUUUU